rnacentral:rRNA from 1 species
CGCAUCUGUGCAUGCAGCAUAUCAAUAAGCGGAGGAAAAGAAACUAACAAGGAUUCCCUAGUAACGGCGAGUGAAGCGGGAAGAGCUCAAAUUUGAAAUCUUCAAGGUUUUACCUUGACGAGUUGUAGUUUAAAGAAGUGUUUUCUGUUGAAGUUUUGGUAAAAGUUCUUUGGAAUAGGACAUCAUAGAGGGUGAGAAUCCCGUAUUUGACCAUUAUUUUCAGCUGUGUGAUACACUUUCAAAGAGUCGGAUUGUUUGGGAAUGCAGUCCAAAAUGGGUGGUAAAUUUCAUCUAAAGCUAAAUAUUGGCGAGAGACCGAUAGCGAACAAGUACCGUGAGGGAAAGAUGAAAAGAACUUUGAAAAGAGAGUUAAACAGUACGUGAAAUUGUCAAAAGGGAAGCGUUUGACACCAGUGUUGUUUUCUCGAAAAUCAAUUAAAAAGAGUUUAGAUUUUGUUGUGUAUUGACCUUAACAGCUUGCAUUUCAAUUUUCUUGCUUUUUUUAAUGCACUUUUCGUUUAACAAGUCAACAUCAGUUUCUUUUGUUGUAAAAAGGUCAGUUGGAAGGUGGCUUUCUUUUCGGAGAAAGUGUUUAUAGCCUUUGACUCCUGCAAUCGGAGAGACUGAGGUCUGCAGCGUAGAUCCUUCGGGGUUAGAUACAUUUGUGCUAAGUUAUAGCUUUUUAUAGACGACUUGUUGACUAUGAUUAGUCUUGUAGCUUACUCGCUUAUGCUAUUUUACCUACGCUUAGGAUGUUGACGCGCGUGUGUGCGUG